UGAGGAAUAUUGGUCAAUGGGCGAGAGCCUGAACCAGCCAAGUAGCGUGCGGGAUGAAGGCCCUUGUGGUCGUAAACCGCUUUUAUCAGUGAAUAAAGUGCACCACGUGUGGUGUCAUUGCAGGUAGCUGAAGAAAAAGGACCGGCUAAUUCCGUGCCAGCAGCCGCGGUAAUACGGAAGGUCCGGGCGUUAUCCGGAAUUAUUGGGUUUAAAGGGAGCGCAGGCGGGAGUAUAAGUCAGCUGUUAAAUAUCAGGGCCCAACUCUGUUAUGCAGUUGAAACUAUAUUUCUUGAGUACGCACAGGGAUGGCGGAAUUCAGGGUGUAGCGGUGAAAUGCUUAGAUAUCCUGAAGAACUCCGAUCGCGAAGGCAGCCAUCCGGAGCGUAACUGACGCUGAGGCUCGAAGGUGCGGGUAUCGAACAGGAUUAGAUACCCUGGUAGUCCGCACGGUAAACGAUGAAUACUCGCAGUUCGGCCGUUUAGGUCGAGUUGUCCAGCGAAAGCGUUAAGUAUUCCACCUGGGGAGUACGCCGGCAACGGUG
rnacentral:rRNA from 1 species